UGGCUGCCUAAUUUGAAGUUUGUGUCUUGCUGUCAGGUGGAGGACCUUGGCGAUCUUCUCAAGCUUUACGAGGACUGGCACCCUCACUUGAUCCCUUAUUACUCAUUAGAGCAGUUUGCGUGCAAGGUUGAGAAAGUUGGGGCCAACAUCCGCGUUAGGCUAAGUUUCCUUCUUCCUUUCAGGGGUUCCUUCCAUUUUGUAAUGUGUGAUUGA
rnacentral:rRNA from 1 species